UCUAGCCCGGCAGGUUGAUUCGAAUUCGCCCUUACCCGUUGAACUUGAGCAUGUCAAUGAGCGGAGGAAAAGAGGCCAACAGGGAUUGCCCCAGUCACGGCGAGUGAUAGCGGCAACAGCUCAAAUAUGAAAUCUGGCGCCUCCGGGUCCGAGUUGUAAUUUGUAGAGGAUCGCUUUUGGUGAGGUGCCGCCCGAUUUUCUUGGAACGGGAACGCCACAGAGGGUGAGAGCCCCGUCUGGCUGGCCACCGAGCCUCUGUAAAGCUCCUUCGGCGAGUCGAGUAGUUUGGGAAAGCUGCUCAAAAUGGGAGGUAUAUGUCUUCUAAAGCUAAAUAGUGGCCAGAGCCCGAUAGCGCACAAGUAGAGUGAUCGAAAGAUCGAAAAGCACCUUGAAAAGAGGGUUAAACACCACGUGAAGUUGUUGAAAGGGACGCGCUUGUCACCAGACUUGGGCGCGGCGGAUCAUCCGGGGUUCUCUCCGGUGCACUUCGCCGCGUUCAGGCCAGCAUCAGUUGCGUCGCGGGGGAAAAAGGCUUCUGGAACAUGGCUCCUCCGGGAGUGUUAUAGCCCGUUGCAUAAUACCCUGCGGUGGACUGAGGACCGCGCAUCUGCAAGGAUGCUGGCGUAAUGGUCACCAGCGACCCGUCUUGAAACACGG
rnacentral:rRNA from 1 species